rnacentral:misc_RNA from 1 species
UUUCCGUAGGUGAACCUGCGGAAGGAUCAGUAUUGUAUAACCGAGGUGCGAGGGCUGUCGCUGACCCGAAAGGUCGUGCACGCCCGAGUGCCCUCACACACAUCCAUCUCACCCCUAUGUGCACCACCGCGUGGGUCCCCCUUUGGCUUGUUCGGAGGGGGGCUCGCGUUUUCACACAAACCCCCCUUUUAAAAGUGUAGAAUGACCACAUUUAUGCAAUCAAUACAACUUUCAACAACGGAUCUCUUGGCUCUC